CUGCACAGCACUGCUUUUCAAGCUGCCCCGGAGCUCACCAUCUUGCACAAACACUUAUGCAUUUGUUCCUUCCCUUCUCAGAUUCCUCUGUCUGGUUGGUAUUGGCAGCUGGAUUAUCAAGAUGUCUUGAGAAAGUACUUCUGCAAGUAUUUUUCAUAUAAUCAAAGCUGUUAGCACUAAAAUAUCUUCCCCAGAAAGGAUUCUCCUGAGCUGCACACCGUGACUGCUGCCUUGACAUUCUCCCAAGCUGACAUCCCGACCGGUAUGACACUGAUGCCUUUGGGCAGAAAUCAGAGCCGGUUUGCUACAUGCCUCUGUGUAGCCAGGAUGCCUGUAGUGCCUCUGAGAGCCCCCAGUGCCCUGGUGGGGAAAUGGAGCGAGCACGUGAGCCCCAGAUGAACUCCAGGGAAAGAGCAGGAAUUAUCUGUGGUGAUCCUGCUGCCCAUUUCCAGUUGUUGAAAUGGCUGGAAGAGAAGCCCUCUGACCAUCUGCUUUAUAUUCAGACUUCAGAUUUGAGUCUUCACCUAAAGGUAGGACUGAGAGCAAAGUCUCAUGUGUCGCAAACUCACAGUGAAAGAUAG
rnacentral:lncRNA from 1 species